rnacentral:rRNA from 1 species
UUAUUAGAUAAAAAACCAACGCCCUUCGGGGCUUCUUGGUGAUUCAUGAUAACUUUACGGAUCGCAUGGCCUUGCGCCGGCGACGGGUUCAUUCAAAUUUCUGCCCUAUCAACUUUCGAUGGUAAGGUAUUGGCUUACCAUGGUUUCAACGGGUAACGGGGAAUUAGGGUUCGAUUCCGGAGAGGGAGCCUGAGAAACGGCUACCACAUCCAAGGAAGGCAGCAGGCGCGCAAAUUACCCAAUCCCGACACGGGGAGGUAGUGACAAUAAAUACUGAUACAGGGCUCUUUUGGGUCUUGUAAUUGGAAUGAGUACAAUUUAAACCUCUUAACGAGGAACAAUUGGAGGGCAAGUCUGGUGCCAGCAGCCGCGGUAAUUCCAGCUCCAAUAGCGUAUAUUAAAGUUGUUGCAGUUAAAAAGCUCGUAGUUGAACCUUGGGUCUGGCUGGCAGGUCCGCCUCACCGCGUGUACUUGUCCGGCCGGGCCUUCCUUCUGGAGAACCUCAUGCCCUUCACUGGGCGUGUUGGGGACCAGGACUUUUACUUUGAAAAAAUUAGAGUGUUCAAAGCAGGCCUUUGCUCGAAUACGUUAGCAUGGAAUAAUAGAAUAGGACGUGCGGUCCUAUUUUGUUGGUUUCUAGGACCGCCGUAAUGAUUAAUAGGGACAGUCGGGGGCAUCAGUAUUCAAUUGUCAGAGGUGAAAUUCUUGGAUUUAUUGAAGACUAACUACUGCGAAAGCAUUUGCCAAGGAUGUUUUCAUUAAUCAGUGAACGAAAGUUAGGGGAUCGAAGACGAUCAGAUACCGUCGUAGUCUUAACCGUAAACUAUGCCGACUAGGGAUCGGGCGAUGUUCUUUUUCUGACUCGCUCGGCACC